rnacentral:lncRNA from 1 species
AAAAAUCAAGUCAAAAUGGAUUAAAUACUCAAGACUCAAAGCUAUAAAACUAUUAAGAGAAAGCAUAAAGGAAAUGAUUCAAGAUCUUGGUCUAAGCAAAGAUUUUAGGACUAAGAAUUCAAAAGCAUGGACAGCACAAACAAAAAUAAAUGGGACUAUAUUAAAUUUAAAAACUUUUGCAUAGCAAAGGAGACAAUUAACUUAAUGAAGAGACAAACUGAUAACCUGUAGAAUAAGAGGAAAUAUUUGCUCAUUUGGCAAGGGAACAACAUCCAGAAUAUAUAAGGAACUCAAGUAUUCGACAGCAAAUAGAAAGAGAUUUAUUAGGAGGGACUGGCUUAUGCAAUUAGGGAGGCUGAGAAAUUCUAUAAUCGGCCAUCUGCAAGUGGAGGCCCAGGAGAGCUGGGGGUAUAGUUUCAAUCCAAACCCUAAGGCCUGAGAACCAGGGGAGCCAAUAGUAUAGAUCCCAGUCCAUGUCUGAAGACCUGAGAACCAGGAGUGCUGAUGUCUGAAGGCAAGGAGAUGACCUGUCCUCUUAAGUUCCCUCCCCUCGUCCCCCAUCCCACAACAGGCCCCGGUGUGUAUUGUUCUCCACCCUGUGUCCAUGUGUUUUUAUUGUUCAACUCCCACUUAUGAGUGAGAACAUGCGGUGUUUGGUGUAUAUGUACCACAUUUUCUUUAUCCAGACUAUCACUGAUGGGCAUUUGGGUGGAUUCCAUGAUUUUGCCAUUGUAAAUAGUGCUGCAAUAAACAUACAUGUGCAUGUGUCUUUAUAGUAGAAUGAUUUAUAUUUCUCUGGGUAUAUACCCAGUAAUGGGAUUGCUGAGUCAAAUGGUACUUCUGGUUCUAGAUCCUUGAGGAAUCACCAUACUGUCUUCCACAAUGGUUGAACCAAUUUACAUUCAGAGGGAAUUUUUUUUUGUUCCAUUCAGAUCCUCA